GGCGCACGGGUGCGUAACGCGUAUGCAACCUACCUUUAACUGGGAAAUAGCCCCGAGAAAUCGGGAUUAAUGUCCCAUACGAUUCUUUGAAUACCUAUUCUGAGAAUGAAAGCUCCGGCGGUUAUUGAUGGGCAUGCGUGACAUUAGCUAGUUGGUGAGGUAACGGCUCACCAAGGCGACGAUGUCUAGGGGUCCUGAGAGGGUUAACCCCCACACUGGUACUGAGACACGGACCAG
rnacentral:rRNA from 1 species